rnacentral:rRNA from 1 species
UCUCUCCUACGGGGGGCAGCAGUGGGGAAUAUUGCACAAUGGGGGAAACCCUGAUGCAGCGACGCCGCGUGAGUGAAGAAGUAUUUCGGUAUGUAAAGCUCUAUCAGCAGGGAAGAAAAAAGACGGUACCUGACUAAGAAGCCCCGGCUAACUACGUGCCAGCAGCCGCGGUAAUACGUAGGGGGCAAGCGUUAUCCGGAUCUACUGGGUGUAAAGGGAGCGUAGACGGCGAUGCAAGUCUGAAGUGAAAGGCGGGGGCCCAACCCCCGGACUGCUUUGGAAACCGUAUGGCUGGAGUGCAGGAG